rnacentral:rRNA from 1 species
UACGGAGGGUGCAAGCGUUGUCCGGAAUCACUGGGCGUAAAGGGCGCGUAGGCGGCUCAUGAAGGCUGUGGUGAAAGUCCGGGGCUCAACCUCGGAUCGGCCGUGGCGACUCGUGGGCUGGAGCACUGUAGAGGCGGGUGGAAUUCCCGGUGUAGCGGUGGAAUGCGUAGAGAUCCGGAAGAACACCAGUGGCGAAGGCGGCCCGCUGGGCAGUGGCUGACGCUGAUGCGCGACAGCGUGGGGAGCAAACAGG